rnacentral:rRNA from 1 species
GAUCAUGGCUCAGGAUGAACGCUAGCUACAGGCUUAACACAUGCAAGUCGAGGGGCAUCAGGAAGAAAGCUUGCUUUCUUUGCUGGCGACCGGCGCACGGGUGAGUAACACGUAUCCAACCUACCCUUUACUCGGGGAUAGCCUUUCGAAAGAAAGAUUAAUACCCGAUGGCAUAAUGAUUCCGCAUGGUUUUACAUUAUUAAAGGAUUCCGGUAAAGGAUGGGGAUGCGUUCCAUUAGGUUGUUGGUGAGG